UACGUAGGGUGCAAGCGUUAAUCGGAAUUACUGGGCGUAAAGCGUGCGCAGGCGGUUAUGCAAGACAGAGGUGAAAUCCCCGGGCUCAACCUGGGAACUGCCUUUGUGACUGCAUAGCUAGAGUACGGUAGAGGGGGAUGGAAUUCCGCGUGUAGCAGUGAAAUGCGUAGAUAUGCGGAGGAACACCGAUGGCGAAGGCAAUCCCCUGGGCCUGCACUGACGCUCAUGCACGAAAGCGUGGGGAGCAAACAGG
rnacentral:rRNA from 1 species